rnacentral:rRNA from 1 species
UUUAAUUCGAUGCAACGCGAAGAACCUUACCAGGUCUUGACAUCCCACGAAUUCAUCUGAAAGGAUGGAGUGCCUUCGGGAGUGUGGAGACAGGUGGUGCAUGGUUGUCGUCAGCUCGUGUCGUGAGAUGUUGGGUUAAGUCCCGCAACGAGCGCAACCCUUGCUAUUAGUUGCUAACAGGUAGAGCUGAGCACUCUAAUGGGACUGCCGGUGACAAGCCGGAGGAAGGUGGGGAUGACGUCAAAUCAUCAUGCCCUUUAUGACCUGGGCUACACACGUGCUACAAUGGAUGGUACAGAGAGCAGCGAGGCAGCGAUGUGGAGCGAAUCUCAAAAAGCCAUUCUCAGUUCGGAUUGGAGUCUGCAACUCGACUCCAUGAAGUCGGAAUCGCUAGUAAUCGCGAAUCAGCAUGUCGCGGUGAAUGCGUUCCCGGGCCUU